UACGUAGGUGGCAAGCGUUGUCCGGAUUUACUGGGCGUAAAGAGCGCGCAGGCGGUCGUUCAAGUCGCGUGUGAAAGCCCCCGGCUCAACUGGGAGGGUCACGCGAUACUGAUCGACUCGAAGGCAGGAGAGGGUAGUGGAAUUCCCGGUGUAGUGGUGAAAUGCGUAGAUAUCGGGAGGAACACCAGUGGCGAAGGCGGCCACCUGGACAGUAACUGACGCUGAGACGCGAAAGCGUGGGGAGCAAACAGG
rnacentral:rRNA from 1 species